rnacentral:rRNA from 1 species
GACAGAGGGUGCAAACGUUUGUUCGGAAUUACUGGGCGUAAAGCGCGUGUAGGCGGCUAUGUAAGCCGGGCGUGAAAUCCCACGGCUCAACCGUGGAAGUGCACCCGAAACUGCGUAGCUAGAGUCCUGGAGAGGAAGGUGGAAUGCUUGGUGUAGAGGUGAAAUUCGUAGAUAUCAAGCGGAACACCGGUGGCGAAGGCGGCCUUCUGGACAGUGACUGACGCUGAGACGCGAAAAGCGGUGGGGAGCAAACAGGG